rnacentral:lncRNA from 1 species
UGGCGCUCUUCCUUCUUUUUCGUUGAAAGCAAGUUUGCAGAGAAUAAAUGCUUGAUCUCUUUGAAUGGAAUGGUAGUUCCCUGCCUUGCUACAGUCCUCUGUGGCUAUUUAAGCCAUCCCCCACGGAAACUAGCCGUUAGACACCUUUUUCUGCCCGUUCUGCACACUCUGCACAACCUGACAAUGUGUCCGUUGGGGUCGGAGUCGACUCGCGCGAUCAGGAGUCGACUCGGCUGUAGCGGGAGUCGACUCAUGCUUUUCUGGAGUCGACUCGGCAACUGUUCCGGAUUUGAAUUAAAGUAGCUUCUUCGACUGGGAGUCGACUCGUCUUGACCCGGAGUCGACUCGCCAACUUCUGGAGCUGACUUGGCAUUUUCGGAGUCG